AUCAGUUCUCUCACUACGCAGCAAAUAAUCAUUUGGUCCAGACUACCUUCACAUGAUUAAAAUGAAAACGUGUGUUAUUUUUAUUGCAGUAUGUCUGGUCAUUGCAAGGGUUGUAACAAGUGAUCCAUGUGAAAACAGCUAUUGCCACUUUGGUCUUGGAUUUGUUAUGAACAGAGCAUCUAGUAUUACUUUUUACGGUAGCGAUGGUGUUACAUAUAAUGACUUCUGCGAUUUCAAGAAAGCACACUGCAGGAACAGUACAUUGGUUUUUAGCAAAUUAGGUGCAUGUUAAGUGAAUUCAGAACAUGUACUGGAAACCAUUAAAAUAAAGGAGAUUAUUUUCCUGUU
rnacentral:lncRNA from 1 species